rnacentral:lncRNA from 1 species
AAAGUGUUGGGAUUACAGGCGUGAGCUACCGCGCCCAGCUGAAGAAACUGCAUUCUCAGACCGACUUGGUUCCUUGGUGUGGUCUUUGGACUCAUUGGCGUUAGUUCUGAAAAACAUCUCAAAUGAAAAGUUGUAAGGCUCCUAAAGUCAAAGUUCCUAUCUACAAGAACAAUAAGUAAAUUCAUGGUUUAUGUCCUGGCCUACAUGGUCCAUAAGAGGCUAUAGGGAAAUGAGUCAUAGGACAACCUGACUAAUGCUUAAUCUAUACUUUUAUCUAAAGCCUGGCAUGUAAUUAUUGUUAACACUAUGGGGAAGGUUUAACAGGGAAGGUCUCUCUGACCUUCCCCUGACUUUCUCCCAUGAAGCAGGCCCUAAAAGAAUUCUCUGACCUUCUUACAAAAUAAGGUCAUAAGACCCUAUUUGCAGGGCCUCCUUCCUAUACCCAGAAGAAAAGAAUGAAGACGCAGAGAUGCCAAGAAGCUGUGAAUAAACAGGCCUUGUUAAGUUCUCUCCAGUUUGUUACCAUUACUGUAGCAGGACAAGUCGCAGACAAAACUCCUAGGACACCGGAUUAAAGAAGGAAGAGGUUUUUAUUGGGCUGGGAGUGUCAGCAGACUCGCGUCUUAAGAGCUGAGCUCCCCAAAAAAGAAAUUCCUAGCCCUUUUAAGGGCUUACAACUCUAAGGGGUCCACGUGAAAAGGUCGUAAUAGAUCAAGUAAGUGUGAGGAACGUGACUAGGGGCUACAUACAUCAGCUAACAGAACAAAAAGUUUUACAGUGCUUUCACAUACAAUGUCUGGAAUUUACAGAUAACACUAGUAGUUUUGGUCAGGGGUUAAUAUUAUUAUUAUUAUUAUUAUUCUUUUAACCACCAGGGCCAGGUGGUGGCGCCAAGGUCGUCUAGUUAUUUAUCUUAUUUCUGUUUCUUUCCAACUUUUUGCUUUCUCCCUUUUCUCCUGUCUUAUAAACUAGGGAAAAGGGGAGGUUGGGGAGAAGCUGGGAAGGACAACAGGAGAAGUGGUGGUCUCAUUCUAUUAGAUCAUACCCACUUUUGUCCAAUCAUACUGUAUGAUAGUCCACUCUACACGAACCUAAGCAUAAAAAUACCGUUUUUUUUCUGUUUCUUUGGGUCUUCAUUUCCUUAUUAAGUCUCUCAUAUGAUGUAAAACUUAUUAAAUAAAUUUGUAUGCUUUUCUCUUGUAUUUAAUAUUUUGUUAUAGGGAUCUCUGCCACAAACCUAGGGUGAUACUAGAUAAAGAUGCUAAUUUUCUCCCCUACAGUGACUUUAGAGAUUAGGACCUAAAGGCUUGGUGGCUUCCCUCUCACUGUCUCCUGGAUCUCUCAUUCUGGUGGGAGUUAGGCGCCAUGUCAUGAGGACAUUCAAGGAGCCCUCUGGGGAGUUCCCAUUGUGAGGAGCUGAGGCUUCCUGACAACAACCAACACCAACUCGCCAGGAGAGGAGAAGAGCAGAAGACAAGGGAAGCAGAUCAGGUUUGUAGGUAUUAUCUCCAAUGUACCUGUGAAGAAACUAAGGCCUGGAAGAGUUCAGCGAUUUGCCUACAGUAACACAGCAACUUUAGAGACCAUCUGCAUUCCUUGAGUUGUGGCUUCUUCCUCCAUCUUCAAAACCAGCAACAACAGAUAAGUCCUUCUUAGAUUGCUUCACUCUGACCUCCUCUCUGUCACCUUCUUCCAUUUUAAGGACUCUUGAUUAUACUCGGUUCACCCAGACAAUCCAGGAUAAUCUCCCUAUUUUAAGGCCAGCUGAUUAGCAACAUUAAUUCUAUCUGUCACCUUAAUUAUCCUUUGUCAUAUUACAUAACAUAUUCACAGGUUUCAAGGAUUAAAACAUGGACAUCUUUGGGAGGGGGUGCUUAUAGUGUCCACCACAGCGGCCCUCUUCAAGAAAAGAAUAAAAAGUUAAAAUUAUAAAAUUAGAUACGAUC